rfam:Cycloclasticus sp. Phe_18 scaffold_1118, whole genome shotgun sequence.
UUAAGAUUAAAAUUGCCGGUUUUCUACUGGCUAAAAUAACGGAGAGACUUAAUGGCACGUAUUGCUGGUAUUAACAUACCUGAU